UCCCUCCGUCCUUAUUUAAAUGACGUUUUAGAAUUUUUUAUUUGUCCCUAAUUAUUUGACGUUUGUUCAAAUCUAGGAGAAUUAAUGAUAAUUUUUCCAAAAUUAUCCCUCAUUAUUCUUUUUACUUUUUUGAUACUUUAAACUCUUUCUCUCUUUCUCUCUCCUUAUCCCAACAAAACUCUUCUUAUCUCAACAAAAUUCUCCUUAUCCCAACAAAAGAUUUAAGGUUAUUAUAGACAAUUGAGUACUAUAUUUAAU
rnacentral:lncRNA from 1 species